rnacentral:rRNA from 1 species
CGCAAGACUGAUCCAGCCAUGCCGCGUGCAGGAAGACUGCCCUAUGGGUUGUAAACUGCUUUUGUACAAGAAGAAUAAGAGGUACGUGUACCUUGAUGACGGUGAUUGUACGAAUAAGCAUCGGCUAACUCCGUGCCAGCAGCGGCGGUAAUACGGAGGAUGCAAGCGUUAUCCGGAAUCAUUGGGUUUAAAGGGNCCGUAGGCGGGCUGUUAAGUCAGGGGUGAAAGUUUGCCGCUUAACGGGAAAAUUGCCUUUGAUACUGGCGGGCUUGAAUGUGUGUGAAGUGAUUAGAAUAUGUAGUGUAGCGGUGAAAUGCAUAGAUAUUACAUAGAAUACCGAUUGCGAAGGCAGGUCACUAACACAUUAUUGACGCUGAUGGACGAAAGCGUGGGUAGCGAACAGGAUUAGAUACCCUGGUAGUCCACGCCGUAAACGAUGGAUACUAGCUGUUGGGCUGUACGUCUCACUGGCUAAGCGAAAGUGAUAAGGAUCCACCUGGGGAGUACGUUCCAAGAAUGAAACUCA